rnacentral:sRNA from 1 species
GUAUAAGAUGAAAUAACUAUGUUCACAUGACUAAUAAAAGUCGUAAUGCGAUUAUAUCAUCGUGUUUGUUUAUAUGCAAUAUGUAUGAACCUGAGUAAUCUACUCAGGUUCUUUUUGG